rnacentral:misc_RNA from 1 species
AACGCACAUUGCACUCUAUUCGUAGAGUAUGCCUGUUUGAGAAUCUAUAAUAUUUCUUUUGGAAAUUUGUUGUGAAUUUCCAAAGAUAUGAGGCGUUCUUUUAGUUUGUAAAAGUGCCUUGAAAUAGAUUAUCUGCAGUUUGAAUAGAUGCUUGACGUCGCUAAACAACAGAACAGUAUUUGAAUGGUUUUCAACCAAACCUCAAUACCUAAUAGGUUGUAUAGUGGAAUAGUCUAUUUUGAUUGUGGGUCCAAAAAUACAAGAGUAACAUUUGAUUGCUCUGAAUCUUGGUCUCAAAUCAGGUAGGAAGACCCGCUGAACUUAA